UGAAGCGUUCAACUCCAGCUCCCAGGAAACUGACUCUGGGUCCGUGAUGAGGCGGAGAGCUGCCCACAGGCGGCAGUGAUGUCACGCAGGUGUGUGAGACCGUGUGACACAUGUUCGAGUCUCCUCAGUGUGUCUGGGGCCUGUAGGCUGGAGGCCUGUUGACAGGCUGAGUGUUGGCAGGACGAUGAGUGUCACACAUGCAGCAUCAGGAGAAAACAGAUAAAGAGGAAUCCAAGAGAGGAAUGAACAGGCUUUGGACUUUCAGAUGGAUAAAGAGA